AUUUUUCUGAUGGCGGAAGGCCUGUAAAUUAUUGUUUACCGCCUGCUUGUCGACGUUUUACGACGGAUUCAAAAACUCUUUAAAGGGAGAUAAUUCUUAGUCGUUUCGCUUCUUGUCAAAACCAAAAUGAGAACAUCGCACUGCAGCAUUGGUUCUACGUACUUAAAACUCUGUAGUUACUUAAUUUACAGUUGUAAUCUGCAUUAAGGUUUACAAUGAUGAUCUUAUGUAAUAGACUAACAGGAGAGGAUUGGCUGAUUAUCAUCCUGGUGACCAAGGUUUUAGGAGGCCUGCUUCUUCAGUCUUGGAAUGUAACCCAUGAAUGGACAUACCAUUGCCUCGCUGGAUCUCUCGUACUUCAAGUGUUGUCAAUCAUAUUCUUUUCUUCGCCAAAGAAUGGACACAAAGGAAGUGACACAUUUAGAACUGCUGAACAGUCUGGAAUAUUUUGCAUCUUGCUGGUUCCCCUGUGUUUUCUUGCAGAAAUUUCUUAUACUGCAAACAACUGUUCAUCAUGUCAUUCCAGGGUAGAAGAGGUAUCAUUUCUACUAGCCUGCAGUAGCAUAAUGCUGAUGUUGUCCUCAAGAAUGCUUCCAAGUCUUAACAGUGUGCAUUCAAGUGGGUUUAUACAGACUGCAUUCAGUUUGUCUUCAGGUCUUGUUCUCCUUCCAGUUGUCUUAACUACAGGCAGCAGUAUCAUGGCCAUUUCUUUUGGCAUUGCUGUUGUAGUGGCUAUGGUCACACAUCUUCCCAGACUGUGCCCAAAAUCCUUUACAUUUGGGGAGUUGUGUGUUGUCUGUCAUCUGGCUGGGGAUUUUGUGUGGAGAAGCAUGAGGUGGUUGACUGAAUUCAUUUCUAAUCAGGGGAGACCACCAAUUUCAGAAGAGGCUUGUUUGUAUGUUUUAAUUUCAGUCAUUUGUAUAUUUGUUGCUUUUGCAACAAUCACCAUACUGUUGGUAAAACCGGUGAAAAAUAUAUUGUUUUUCAUUCUGCUGUAUUGUAUUUUCACACUAAUGGGAUUUGGGACAUAUUGUCUUAUUACAAAUCUGAACCCAGCUGUUUGGCUUUUGCAGUUUGUCUUCACCAGGCAAGAAAGGUUGCUUCUUUUGGGCUGGUGGGUGCUGCUGACUGUGGUGACAGCUAUGGGUGUAUGCCUUUACCCCACCUUAGCAAAGAAGACAGGGACCGUUGACAAAGCUUCAACUGCCAUGCGCAAGUGCUUUCAUCUUGUAGUGGUUGCAGUGUAUGUUCCAGGACUGGUGCAUGAUCCUGCCUUUCUCCUACUUGCUUCAGUUGUUGCCUUGGCUGUGUUGGCCUUACUUGAGACAGCUCGCGUGACUCGUGUAAAAUGGCUGGGCACUACCAUAGAUAUUGCCUUUCAUGUUUUUACUGACAGUCGUGAUCAGGGCCCUGUACUCUUGACACACAUCUAUCUGCUGGUGGGACUGUCAGUUCCUCUUUGGCUCUCAUGCAAUAUAAAUAACAAAGCCAUGUUAUUACAGUUGUCCAGCGGGAUCCUUUCACUUGGCAUUGGUGACACUAUUGCUUGUAUUGCUGGUAUGCGCUAUGGACUGACCAAAUGGCCAGGCACAUGCAAAAGUUUGCAGGGAACUGGUUUCUCAGUUACUGCACAGCUCAUCUUCAUCACUACAGGGUUAUUUUUAGGCUGGUUUGAAUCAUUCUCAUGGUCGGGUGUGGUGUUUGCCGUAGUGGCAUCAUCUGUUUAUGAAGCCUUAACUUCACAGAUUGACAACCUGGUCCUUCCCUUAUAUACUUUGGCAGCCUUGCCAGUGUGACCUCUAUCACAAUAGCUAAGAUGGCUUUGUGUUUCCAUAGAGAAACUGAUCAGUUUCUCUACAGAGCUACAGUCUAACAUCCAAUAUUCAUGCAUCAAGCAAUUUUUAUUUGUGGGGAACAGGGUAGCACCUGAAGAUAAAUGUGUUGAGUGUACAAAAUGUGCGACAUAUAAACAUUGACAAUCCUCUGUAUGCAAAAGAUAGACAUACAUCUGAUAUACAUGUUUGAAACAAGCAGAGUGUGAGCUGCUAAUGCAAUGAUCACUCAGAAAUGUGGGAUGGAGUGGUUGGUGGGGGUGGGGGGAGUCGCCAUUCUCGGUGGAGAAAAUGUUUUUUGUCUUUCAGCGGUUGCUGAUCAUCAAUGUACAGCAACAGGCAGCAUGUUAUGUGGUUUGUUGGCAGAAACUACAGUUCUGAUUUGUGCUGCAAAUCACAAAGACAAGAAUGCUAUGAAUCAGUUGUUUUUAGUUUUUAAAGGUCUUUUCAUUUUUUGUUUGCUAUUAUCUUACUUAACUAUGUUUACUUAUUGUCACAUUAUAUAUAUCUUUAUCCAUUAUUCAUCAGACCAAAUCCUUUAGCACCCGGCACAAGUCAUCACUGAAAAAGUCAUUAAAAAAAGUUAAGGUGGAUUGCCUGUCUGAUCAUUCAAGGAAGAAAAGUGUUAACUCAUUCAGUAUGGAAGCAUCGACACAACCGAGCUGUACUUGUGAGAAUGUUCACAUCUGUGGGUGCAAACUGUAGAGGAAGAGUUGAGCUCUCUCUAGUCACUGAAUACAUGAAUGGUAUAAAACUAGAAAAACAUAACCUACAGGUCUGAUAAAACAUCUCUCCUGGGUGGUUCACUGGGAUAGCAAUUUCAAGAUCUUUUAGUGUACAUACAUUGCCAAUCAAAGAGAUUAAAGUUGUGUGUAGAUGGCUCUGUCAAAGCACAGUACAAUCCAAAUGUAGGCAACAGAUUAAUUAGUUCUGAUUGUGGCUGAUGACUUUAAUAGUAAAACAGUACAAAAUGUGGACAUGACUGGUAGGGACAUCGGAUGUGUGAGCCUUCGAGUAGCCGUCUGCUUGUGCACAGAAAUGAAGCGCAAAAAAACUCCUGUCUGCCAUUUUUAAAAAGAACAUUUUCACAAAAUUAAAGCUUUAGUCACUUUAUUACCAAAAAGAAUGGCUAUCAUUCACAUAUUCGUUGUUGACAUGACCGUGGAGUCCAUGAUCUUUGACAAAUCAGCACAGGCCAACAAAAACGGAAGUUUACAAUCCAAAAUACAUCAGCAGCUCCAUAUUGAUUUCUGGUAGUGAAAUGAAUCUUCACAUUUUUCCAUGACAUUUUUUGAGUUCAGUAACUUCUAUGUGAAAUAAAUUCUCACAAAUUUUUGUCUUCCAUGGUUACUUUCAGUUCUAAAGGAGGGGUUUACAUAAUAGGAACUGGUAUGCCUGUAAAAGACUGGACAUGCCUCUUGUCCGGUGGAUGCUCUUUCAAGCCAGGUUGUCUCCACUACUGUCUGCUUAUUUCUGCAGGACCUGCUAAUACGUUAACAAUUAGAGGCAUUUUCUAAGGGAGCAAAAAAAGGGUGACCAACACCAAUACACUGAUGUCUGCAUACCUAAAAAUGAUCCAAGGGUAAGCACUAACUGCUGUUAGAUAAUUAUCUUUCUCCGAGACCUGUGUAAGUAGAAAGCUGGCAUCAGCUCACUAAACAUUUACACACAGUAACAAAAAUAUCCUUCAAGGACAAUCCUCUUUGCAAUGCAUUACCCAGCGAUCAUGCCUACCUGGCUAUCCACAUUCAACUUACUGAUCACCCAACAUGCCAAAGGUUAAAUGGAUGUGAAACAACACAAACUGACAGUUGUAGCAAAGUCUGCUGGUAAAGAUUAAGACAUGUGACAUUGUGAUGAAAGUGACACAAGUGAUUAAGUUUCCAGACUGUAUAAGUUUGCUGCAAAUCACAGUGCUUUGGAUACUGCAAACAAAAACAUUUUUUUCAGCAUCAACCUAUGAGCAGAUACAACAGCAUUUACACUCUAUUUGUACAAAGCAGCAAAUAACAUAUCCCCCAAAAUUAUGGGAUUUUCAAAAUAAUGAUGAACAGUAAAGGUUUACAGUACUUGUGCAUCAAAAUUAAAUGUUGAAAACUCUUGCUGCAUGGCUACAUACUUGCUGGAAUAGCAGUAAUAGAACUCAUUAUUGAUAGAAAUAUUAAAGAACAUAUAUUAAUCAGCAUACAAGUUAUGCCUAAACAAGCUUGUGGAACUGCUUAGUGGCAAUAUAAAUCUAGGAGGCAGAAUUUGUCAUGCCUAAACUAUUAUCCUUUAGGCUUUAGAUUGUACAAUGUGCAAAAUACUUUUCUAAAAUCUAAAACGCUCCCAUAACAAGUGUAAUAAAAUUGUUGUCCAUUUUCUGGCCAAGUGAUGACAUCCCUCUAUUAAGGCUGAGAACUUAAGCAAAUAAGUGAGAAAUUUGCUGCUUUAGUAAAGGACAAUAAUAAGCUUCAGCAGGAUUUCUAACUCAUUACACCCUUUAUUCAUCUGUUGAUCAAACAUUACUUUUUGACAAUCUUCAACUUAACUGUAAAGAGUUGAGAAUUUGAUUUUAUUAUAAACAGCAAUUUUAUACAGCUGAUGUUCAGUCAUACCAAAGAGAAAUAUUUUGUCACAAGUGACAACAAAAAAAGGCCUGCUCUGCCUACAAAUGGUCUUACACGUUUUUUUUUUCACUGUACCAUCUUCAGUUCAACAAGUUACAAUCUGAACUACUGAUGUCAUGGAAAGCUGUGUUGCCCAGUCAGCAAGCUUACUUUUGUGACAUUUUGUACAAAAACCAUGGGAAACCACAGUGUUGGCAGGCUUGUAUUUUGUGAAUGGAACAGAAAAAGUUCUUCACUCAGAACUUUGGAAUUUUUAUCUAAAAAUAUUCCAUUUGGGCUAGCCUUUAAGGGUGACACGUGUUCCCAAUAGUUGAAGGGAAUAGUGAUGAUACUUAAGUGACUAGACCUAUAAAGUCCAGCACUUGGCUGUCAUUCUGUAUGAACAGACCAUAAUUUUUCUUUUAAAUGGAGAAAUGAGGAGGUGGGGGAGAUGAUCACAUUAUGAAAUUAUCGAUGCCCUAUUUUGGAUAUACAAGGUCUGCAUCAUUCAUGGAACUGGUUGAAAAACAUUUCAAAAAAGUCCAGUUCAUUUAACUCAAGUAAUGCUAUAA
rnacentral:misc_RNA from 1 species